rnacentral:misc_RNA from 1 species
AGAUGCGAGCCGCGUUGCGGCGAGCCUCGAAGGGCGACGGGAAUGAAACUGGUCAUCCUUCGAGGCGCGCAAGAGCGCGCAGGAUGACGGCAGAAACUGAUGGACUAGAAUUCAGGGGCGUCGGGUUACAUGGGUAAGCCUACAGGUUUUCUUGAGAUCGAGCGUCACGACCGCAAGUAUGAGCCGGUCGCGGAGCGGGUGAAGGAUUUCAGGGAAUUCGUCAUUCCGCUGAGCGAGAAAGACACGCGCGAUCAGGCNNNNAUGAAUUGCGGCAUCCCCUAUUGCCACGGCACCGGCUCGGUUCAGCCCGGCACGCCCGGCU